rnacentral:rRNA from 1 species
UACGUAGGGUGCGAGCGUUAAUCGGAAUUACUGGGCGUAAAGCGUGCGCAGGCGGUUUUGUAAGCCAGAUGUGAAAUCCCCGGGCUUAACCUGGGAAUGGCAUUUGGGACUGCAAGGCUUGAGUGCGGCAGAGGAGACUGGAAUUCCUGGUGUAGUAGUGAAAUGCGUAGAUAUCAGGAGGAACACCGAUGGCGAAGGCAGGUCUCUGGGCUGACACUGACGCUCAUGCACGAAAGCGUGGGGAGCAAACAGG